UACAGAGGGUGCGAGCGUUGUCCGGAAUUAUUGGGCGUAAAGAGCUUGUAGGCGGUUUGUCGCGUCUGCCGUGAAAAUUCGAGGCUCAACCUCGAACUUGCGGUGGGUACGGGCAGACUAGAGUGUGGUAGGGGAGACUGGAAUUCCUGGUGUAGCGGUGAAAUGCGCAGAUAUCAGGAGGAACACCGAUGGCGAAGGCAGAUCUCUGGGCCGUAACUGACGCUGAGGAGCGAAAGCAUGGGGAGCGAACAGG
rnacentral:rRNA from 1 species